rnacentral:lncRNA from 1 species
GUUGUUGUUGUUAUUUCUUGGGCCGCUCCCGCGGCAUAUGGAGGUUCCCAGGCUAGGGGUUGAAUCGGAGCUGUAGCCACCGGCCUACGCCAGAGCCACAGCAACGCGGGAUCCGAGCCGCGUCUGCAACCUACACCACAGCUCACGGCAACACCGAUCGUUAACCCACUGAGCAAGGGCAGGGACCGAACCCGCAACCUCAUGGUUCCUAGUCGGAUUCGUUAACCACUGCGCCACGACGGGAACUCCAUGCAUUCUUUUUCUAAUACUAUAUUUCAUCGUGUUCUAUCCCAAGAGAUUAGAUACAGUUCCCUGUGCUGUACAGUAGGACCCCAUUGCUUAUCCAUUCUCGAUGUAAUAGUUUGCAUCUACCAACCCCAAACUCCCCGUCCAUCCCACUCCCUCCCAAGUCAUUCAUUUUAAAUGACUAUGGAAGAUCAAGGGCACUAAACAUUUCCUUCUCGCAAGUUUUUCUCUAGAUAAUUUACCCCAGUCGAAGAAAACUAUCAUGUGAAUUACUUCCCCCAAAUUUAAAAAUUCACCUGGGUUUUGACUUCAUAUCAAAUGUCAUUGUUCAUCUGUAAUGGUAAUUACACCAGAGGAUAACGACUUCCUAUGAGAGAAAAAAUAGCCCAGAAAUGGGCUGGAUUGGUGAGGAGGAGAUGGCCACCCUAGGACUUUUUUUAAAAUUGUUUUGGCUACAUACAGGGCAUGUGGACGUUCCCAGGCCAGGGGUCAAACCCGAGCCACAGCAGUAACCAGAGCUGCUGUUGUGACAAUGCUGGAUCCCUAACCCACUGAACCACCAGGAAACACCAAGCCUAGGAUUUAAGUUAAAAUUUUGAUAGAGCUAAUACACAAUGCAGCUAACACUCCAGGCAGAUAUUCAGAUACUAAAAAAAUUCUUCCUUUGAGACCAAGGAAUACGCUGCCAUCAAAACACAUGCUGGCUAGGACCUGUUCUGGUUAGGAAGGCCACAGUCCCAGUUUGCCUGAGAUAACCCCCCAUACACCGACGUCCCAGUAUCCUGCCAGGCCUAGCAUUCGUCCUAGACUGAAGGUUCCCAUUUGGACAAUAACUUACAUGGUGCCAUAGUUUAAGGGUAAGUUAAUGUCAGCAAUAAAAGCUGAUCAGCCCUCUUUGCUCCAGCCUCUUUCAAUCACAAAUUCUAACACCUUUUAAUACUUUUUCACCCCCAAAUCACGACAAUCCUCACUCCGGAGUACUCAAUAAAUAUUUGUUAAGUAACUACAUUCAUCACUAUAUUAGUACUAUCUGUCCAGGAAUGGAUUUGAAAUAAAUCUGACCACUGUAGAAAAGAGGUUCAAUAAAUAUUAGCUAAUAGAAUAUCAGUGAGGAAGUCUGAAAGGGCAAAAGACUUAACCACUGUCCCUCACACUGUCUUCUGGCUUGCUGUCCAGAAAUUUUUACCUAAGUUGUUGGCAUUUCUGUUCUUGGCGGAAGGGAGAGGAAAAAGUAUUUUCUUCAUUGUGGUCUCCUUUUCAUAUCUAAGAUAAAUUUCAACCCCACUAGCUUCCAUUCCACCUUUAAUAAAGGACAAUGUGAUAAUUCAAUUUACACUAGCAAAUACCUAGGUUAUACUCAAAUCUGAUGUCUAUUUUCAGUUUGUAAUAGUCUUUUUUUUUUUUUUUUGGCUUUUUGUCAUUUCUUGGGCUGCUGUCAUGGCAUAUGGAGGUUCCCAGGCUAGGGGUCCCAGCCUACACCACAGCCACAGCAAUGCGGGAUCCGAGCCUCGUCUGCAACCUACAACACAGCUCAUGGCAACACCAGAUCCUUAACCCACUGAGGAUCCUUAACCCACUGAGCGAGGCCAGGGAUCGAACCCGAAACCUCAUGGUUCCUAGUCGGAUUCGGUAACCACUGAGCCACCCAUGGGAACUCCAGUUUGUAAUAGUCUUGUUUAAUCAACAUAAAUCCUCUGUGCUCUCCUAGUCUCUCUCUCUCUCCCUCUCUUCCCCUUUCCUUCUCCCACCCCCUCAUUCUUAACUCUUAUACCAAUUUCCUCUCCAGUCUGUAAGUCAAUUGAUUUUCUCCUCAGGCUGCUGUCUGACGUUUGUGCUCUAGAUUGUGAAGCAUUUCCAAAGGCAGAAAAGAGUGUUCUCUAACUUGUGGAGGAGAAAACAAGGGUUGAAAAUGGGAGUACCCAGGAGAACCGAAGGGGAACACUAGGAUUGCUUUAUCUAUGAGGUAGACUGCUAGUGUUGCAUAUUUUGAAAGAGAAUAGGACAGUGAAGGAGGGAUGUGCUGUUGACUCCAAGUGAUGUUAUAAAAUGUAAUAAAUAUAGAUGUUUGAUGAUGGAUGUUUGAUGAUGGUUCUUAUGAACCCUAGGAAGGCUCCAUAGAUGUCGAUGGAUGGAUGGAUGGAUGGAUAGAUGGAUGGAUGGAUGGAUGAAUGGAUGAUACUCCUAGAACCUGCUGCUUUAAUCCGGGGAAAUUCUGACCACUCACGAUCUUUUUCAUGUCUCUACCAAGUAAUCAGAAAUAAUGAUUAAGCAGAUAAUGGUGCCACAAGUUCUGGGCUUAAGAAGUAGCACCUUGUGAAUGGAGCAACAAAAGGUCACACUACAUCAAGUGAUUGGUACUAAGUAUGUAAGUAAACACUCCUAUGGAUUAAGUUAGAGAAGUUAGAGAAGGCCCACAAAAAAGGAAAACUUUCUCCCCCAAAAGAUGAUGGAAAAAGAAAGAUGAUGCCUAAUUUACCCUCUCAAAGAUAUUGCUCCAUAAAAUUUUACAAAAUUCCACCUUUCAUUUUAAGAGGUUCUAUGAACUACUGCUGCUUUGUUCCUCUCUGGAAUUGAAGGAACUAGCGGUGUGCAGAUAAAAACAGGAUCUGUUAGGAAGGCACACUUCUGGAGAAAUGGCCUCACCCCUCCCCUUCGCCGUAGUCAGAAAUGUUGCUUGGCUGUGCUGCAUUCAACCCUCCCGUGUGGCCGCAUCCUUAAGGUUGGAAUAUUCUGGUGUCAGGUACAAAAUUAAAGCUAAGACUCAGAGAGCCUAAUUGACCAUCAGAAAGGAAACAUAAGAGGCUUUGGGUAAGGUUUUUACCUAAAUGAGAAUUGUGGUCAGGAUAAAAUGUAAGUCCCUGAGGGAAUUCCCGUUGCAGCUCAGUGGAAACGAAUCUGACUAGUAUCCACGAGGAUGCGGGUUUGAUCCUUGGCCUCGCUCAGUGCGUUAAGGAUCCAGUGUUGCUGUGAGCUAUGGUGUAGGACACAGACAUGCCUCGGAUCCCAUGUUGCUGUGGCUGUGGUGCAGGCCAGUAUCUAUAGCUCUGAUUGGAUCCCUAAGCUGGAAACUUCCACAUGCUAUGGGUGUAGCCCUAAAAAGCAAAAAAAAAAAAAAAAAAAAAAAAAAAAAAGGCAAGUCACUGAGGUAUAAUUUGGCAAUAAAAUACCACCUCCAAUAUUGUGCAGCUGAACAACUUUAGGGGAUGAAUUAUCUGAAUGUACCAAGGACAGCCCUCUCGCUUCCCUUCUUUAAGUCUGCACUUCUCUGUUAAGGAAAAGCCUUUGAUGGAAAGGCUUCCUGGUUCAACACAUCAUUUCCUUGGGGUCUCUAUUUGUCCUCCCCCGACCCCCCCAAAUCUUAUGACCUUCUCAUAUCUCACUGACUCCUGCCUCCCCACGUGUCCUGCAGUUUUAGUCUCCCAUGUUUAUACUUGAGCUGUUCCUCCUGAAAGGAAGCACACCUUUCAGUAUUCUCCCUACCGAAUCCCUACUUAUCCUUUGAGAUCUGACUCAAAUUCCAUGUCCUCUGUGAACGGAAGGUGUUCUUGUUAGCUCCAGGCACAAAGUAGUUGAAACUCCCCUAGCAGUGGGAUUAUUCCUAUUUGAUAAUGUUUAUCACCUCCUAUCCUGGUCAGUUGUGUGCCUAACUUUAUACACACACACACAAUCACACACACCCCUUAGUUUGUAUUCCUUUGGGAUGGAGAACAAUCUCUUUUCACUUUGUACAUCGAGUCCCUAGAAGAACAAGGCUCGCUGUUGCAUUAAGUUAUGUAAACUUCCAAAUAAGAUCAAAAUAUAUAUAUAUAUAUAUGUUCAUAAAAUCAG